rnacentral:lncRNA from 1 species
GUGGUCUCGAGGGCACGGGAAACCGACCCAGGAAUGGGUGUGGGGCGUCGCGGGGAACCUGGGGUGCCUUGGGGCUCCCGGCCGAGUCCCUCGCACACUCGCUUGAGUUGAUGAUGUCGCGCGGUCGGUAUCCUCCAGUUGCUGGUUCCCGGUGCCCUGCGCCCCGUGGCGAGGGCUUCAAGGAACCAGGGCUGCGGGCCGCCCAAGAGCGGGGUUCUGAGCGGAGGGCGGAGCAGGCGGGGGACCUCAGCGCCACCUGGCGGGAGGUUUUGGUCGUCACUUCAUUCCAAGCCGUGAUCCCCACCGGACAGCCUCGUUUCAGGUCUUGAAGCCGCUGUCGUUAGUUUCCAGAGCGCUGGCGUCCAGAAAGUGGUCCUGAGCCACUGGACGCCUGCACUAGGGGCCUUAAGCACUCCAUCCUGCUGGACGCGAUGGCACAUGCGUGUAAUCCCAGCACGAGGUGGGGGCGCCCCAUCUCCCACACUCAUGCCAUCUCUUAGCCCCUGCAGUAAAGGGCUCCCAUGGGUUCUGGAGUCCUGUCUGAAGCUGCCCCUCGGCCCACUGCUGGGGAGGGACUCCCGGGUGGCAGAGGCACUGGGCGGCAAGGAUCCCCAAAUCUCUGAAUCCACUGCAGGCUGCAGUACUGGGCACGCAGUCCUAGGGACCAGGAAGUUCCUGCAGCAGCCAGGCCGGCAGACAUGGCCCCGGACACUGGGGGUUCCCGGGAUGGUGCCGUCCAUCACAGGAGGGCACCUGGACACUCCCUGCUGCUGUCCGGGGCCAGGAGGCCCCAGGCGCCUGGACUGCUGAGCUCUAGCAGGUGUGCCCCUCUGGGUGCUGUACCAGGAGUCUGGGUCGUGGCCCUGGGCAUGGGGCAUGGAGGACCCUGCCCACCCAGCCACACAGGCUCUGGCUUCCUGUCCUCUGAGGACACAGCCUUCAUGGUCGAGGACAGGGACAUGUUACUCGUCUCAUCUGGAGUCCAGGUUUGGGCCUUCUGGAGGCCGUGGUAGGGAGCCAGGACAUCAGAGAGGAACAGUACUGACCAGAAGUGCAGGCGACGUCGGGGGGAGCGGAACACGAGGAUGGGGUUCACAGGGACCUCAGCAGGUGAGGCUGGUGGGG